rnacentral:rRNA from 1 species
GAUGAACGCUGGCGGCGUGCCUAAUACAUGCAAGUCGAGCGAACGGACGAGAAGCUUGCUUCUCUGAUGUUAGCGGCGGACGGGUGGGUAACACGUGGAUAACCUACCUAUAAGACUGGGAUAACUUCGGGAAACCGGAGCUAAUACCGGAUAAUAUUUUGAACCGCAUGGUUCAAAAGUGAAAGACGGUCUUGCUGUCACUUAUAGAUGGAUCCGCGCUGCAUUAGCUAGUUGGUAAGGUAACGGCUUACCAAGGCAACGAUGCAUAGCCGACCUGAGAGGGUGAUCGGCCACACUGGAACUGAGACACGGUCCAGACUCCUACGGGAGGCAGCAGUAGGGAAUCUUCCGCAAUGGGCGAAAGCCUGACGGAGCAACGCCGCGUGAGUGAUGAAGGUCUUCGGAUCGUAAAACUCUGUUAUUAGGGAAGAACAUAUGUGUAAGUAACUGUGCACAUCUUGACGGUACCUAAUCAGAAAGCCACGGCUAACUACGUGCCAGCAGCCGCGGUAAUACGUAGGUGGCAAGCGUUAUCCGGAAUUAUUGGGCGUAAAGCGCGCGUAGGCGGUUUUUUAAGUCUGAUGUGAAAGCCCACGGCUCAACCGUGGAGGGUCAUUGGAAACUGGAAAACUUGAGUGCAGAAGAAGAAAGUGGAAUUCCAUGUGUAGCGGUGAAAUGCGCAGAGAUAUGGAGGAACACCAGUGGCGAAGGCGACUUUCUGGUCUGUAACUGACGCUGAUGUGCGAAGGCGUGGGGAUCAAACAGGAUUAGAUACCCUGGUAGUCCACGCCGUAAACGAUGAGUGCUAAGUGUUAGGGGGUUUCCGCCCCUUAGUGCUGCAGCUAACGCAUUAAGCACUCCGCCUGGGGAGUACGACCGCAAGGUUGAAACUCAAAGGAAUUGACGGGGACCCGCACAAGCGGUGGAGCAUGUGGUUUAAUUCGAAGCAACGCGAAGAACCUUACCAAAUCUUGACAUCCUUUGACAACUCUAGAGAUAGAGCUUUCCCCUUCGGGGGACAAAGUGACAGGUGGUGCAUGGUCGUCGUCAGCUCGUGUCGUGAGAUGUUGGGUUAAGUCCCGCAACGAGCGCAACCCUUAAGCUUAGUUGCCAUCAUUAAGUUGGGCACUCUAAGUUGACUGCCGGUGACAAACCGGAGGAAGGUGGGGAUGACGUCAAAUCAUCAUGCCCCUUAUGAUUUGGGCUACACACGUGCUACAAUGGACAAUACAAAGGGCAGCGAAACCGCGAGGUCAAGCAAAUCCCAUAAAGUUGUUCUCAGUUCGGAUUGUAGUCUGCAACUCGACUACAUGAAGCUGGAAUCGCUAGUAAUCGUAGAUCAGCAUGCUACGGUGAAUACGUUCCCGGGUCU